rnacentral:miRNA from 1 species
GCCGCUGCCCCGGGAAGGGCUGGGCUGGGCUGGGCAGGGCUGGGCGGGGUCCCGGGGCGCCCCUCCUU